GGCCUACAGUCCAUGGGGUCACACAGAGUCAGAUGCAACUUAGCAACUAAGUACACACACUCUCAUACACACACAAGCAUGCUCCUAGGAAGUCCAGAUUUCAACACAUUUCUGUGUUGGUGAAAAGGAGAUGCUAGAAUCUCAGUACAGUUUAUUUUUCUGAAUCCUUGUUUACACUGCAUGCCUGCUUGCAGCGCAAUGCACCACUUCAGUGGUGUCUGACUCUUUGUGACCCCAUGGACUGCAGCCCACCCGGUUCCUCUGUCCCUGGGAUUCUUCAGGCAAGAAUACUGGAGUGGGUUGCCAUUUCCUCCUACAGGGCUUAUUUACCUUAUCAGUAGAAAAUGUAAAACCCUAGAAUCAUCCUAGCCUAUUUCUUCAGCACUGAUUCCCUGUAAACCAGUUGGUCACUGAGUUAUAUCAAUUUUACCUCCUAAAUAUCUCCAAAAUCCAUUUCCCUUCUCCAGCCUCACUGGCAUUGUUUUUGGUUUUUUGUUUUUGUUUUUUUGCAUUGUUCCAUUCUAAAAAUACUUCCUGAAUGUCUGCUCUAGGACAAUGCCACACUCAGCACCGAGGACAUGAUGUUGAAUAAGACUCAGUCUGUCUUCAAGAAAGAUAUGUGAGCAAAUAGAAAAUUGCAAUAUGAUGUGGUAAAAGCUAUGCUUUGCAAGAGACCUGCAACCCAGCCUGAGAGUCAGGGCUGGGGGGAGGGGUCAUAGAAGGCUUCCUGGAAGAGGCAACACCUGAGCACUGUGUGCACAUCUGACCUCUCCAGAACCUCCCUAACAGUGACUCCCAUAGCUUCCCUCUCUGGGAAGCCGUGUGGACCACAGCUACCUGGACAGAGACUGUGCUCCCUGAAGGUCGACCGGGGCAGGACCAGGGCUGUACCACCUUCUAGCAUCCCUCGUGGGGAGCCACAGUCAUCAGCCCAGUGGAAUGACUGACUGGAGUCCCUAUAGGGAAGACCUUGCAUAGGAAGGUAGAAAUUCUUCCUGUGAAAGAGGCUUUUGUGAUGAGGCAUGGAAGAGCUGCACACAGAAUGUGAAGGUUCCAUCUGCAGGACUCAAAAGCACAAGAGCUGAACCUCCCUGUGAUAAGAGCCAUCGAUUUAGAGGACGUUUCCUCCCACACCAGAACCUGUGAGGCCAAAACAAUGUGGAACUGAUCCAGGACAGUGGUAGCCAGAAUCAGAGUAUACAGUCAGAAAGAAUUCAUUCCUUCGUUAAACAAGCAUUCAUGAAGUGCCUACUAAUUGUCAGAUCAUGUGCCAGGCAUUAAAGACAUAAUAAUGAGCAAAACAGAGGUAGCAAAUAGAUAGUGACAGAUGGGAAAAUCAACAAAUACAAGAUCAAUAAUAGAAGAUAAAAAUCCAGCAGUUCUUCUUUAUCCCAAUUUCUCUCCAUGUGAAGAUUGUUAGAUAAAAAUAAUAGUUUUUAUUAGCAUUUUGUUAGCAUUCUGUGUCAGGCACUAAGAUGAAGGCUUUGGUUAUAUUAACUCAUUCAGUCCUCAAAACAACCUUAUGAGGUAGGUACUAUUAUCACUCUCAUUUUACAGGUUAGAAAACCCCAAGCAUUGAAGUUAACAUUCUGUCAAUGUUCACAUAGUAUUAAUAAGUGGAAGAGCUGAGAUCCAAACCCACAUAUUUUGACUCCAGAGUAUGUAUUUAAAAGCCACUAUAUUACACUAUUUCUACACUAUAUAUACACUACUAUACUAUUUUUUUAUAUUAAAAAACCUGCAUAACUUGGAAAAGAUAUUCCAGCCAAGCCAUUCUCCUAUUGAAAAUCUUAAAUAUCCAGUUCCAAAGAAAGAUUAGUUCAAAGAUCUCUGCUGCUGUUAAGU